rnacentral:rRNA from 1 species
CGGUGCUGGAAGGUUAAGGGGAUCUGUUAGAGCAAUCGAAGCAGUGAACUUAAGCCCCAGUAAACGGCGGCCGUAACUAUAACGGUCCUAAGGUAGCGAAAUUCCUUGUCGGGUAAGUUCCGACCCGCACGACAGGCGUAACGAUUUGGGCACUGUCUCAACAACAGAAUCGGUGAAAUUGUAAUUCCGGUGAGGAUGCCGGAUACCUGAGACAGGACGGAAAGACCCGAUGGAGCUUUACUGUCGCAUGGCAGUGGGGCUCGGUACUACAUGUACAGGAUAGGUGGGAGGCUUUGAAACCAGGACG